GACGAACGCUGGCGGCGUGCCUAAUACAUGCAAGUCGAGCGGACAGAAGGGAGCUUGCUCCCGGAAGUUAGCGGCGGACGGGUGAGUAACACGUGGGCAACCUACCCUGUAGAUCGGGAUAACAUCGAGAAAUCGGUGCUAAUACCGGAUAAUCAUUUGAAGUGCAUGCUUCGAAUGUAAAAGAUGGCUCCGGCUAUCACUACGGGAUGGGCCCGCGGCGCAUUAGCUAGUUGGUAAGGUAAUGGCUUACCAAGGCGACGAUGCGUAGCCGACCUGAGAGGGGGAUCGGCCACAAUGGGACUGAGACACGGCCCAGACUCCUACGGGAGGCAGCAGUAGGGAAUCUUCCGCAAUGGACGAAAGUCUGACGGAGCAACGCCGCGUGAGUGAUGAAGGUUUUCGGAUCGUAAAGCUCUGUUGUUAGGGAAGAACAAGUGCCGUUUGAAUAAGGCGGCACCUUGACGGUACCUAACCAGAAAGCCACGGCUAACUACGUGCCAGCAGCCGCGGUAACAC
rnacentral:rRNA from 1 species